ACAUAAUUGCUCUUCAACAAGGUCCUUGCUACAAUCACAAUGGUUAACAAUCUAAAAAUCUCAAAAAUAUAAAGCUUAAGACAAUGCCAUAACAAAAACGCGUUCACUCGGGACGACAAGUUCACAACCAUAUCUGCAGAAUUGACUAAAACUGUAUACAAAAAUCAGCAAAGUCCAUAUCUCACAAAAGAUGAACUGUAUAGGAUAUAAAGCUCGAGCACUCUGCAGCUCCUCCAUCAAGCAAUGGAGAAACGAUUUCACUCAUUUCCUGUCUCCUUCUCCUUCUCCCUGGCCUUCCCCUCAUCGGUGAUAUUGAACCCCUCGAUCUUGCGUGAGACCUCAUCGGCACUUACCUUUACUUUUCCAAUAGAUCCAUUGACCAAGGCGGCUUCAUCCGAGUCAUCAUGGGUUAAA
rnacentral:misc_RNA from 1 species